rnacentral:tRNA from 1 species
GGUCAGAUAACCAAGUGGUCAAGGCAGAACACCUAGAAUGUCUCAGCUUGCACUGAGGUCCCUGGUUUGAAUCCAGGUCUGAUCU